AGCAACACAGUUCAGAGGAUCAAAGGGCUAUACAGAGAAGUAGGUCAGGGUGAGGGUUGUGGGACAAAGUUUUCAUACCUAGAAAUGUUGAAAUGUUUUAGGGUGUGAAAACAUGCCCUUGAACAUUAUCUUUGCAAAGAACAGGUUUUUAGGUGGAUUUGUUGUAUCAUUUUUGCAUUAUUGCUGUUGUUUUACCCCAGUGAGCAGCUAAGCCCCAUGCAGCCCCUUUCUCACUCCCCCACAGUGGGAUGGGGGGGGAGAGAAUCAGAAGGGUAAAAGUGGGAAAGCUCAUGGGGUGAGGUAAAGACAGUUUCAAGGUAAAGCAAGAGCUGCACACAAGCAAAACAACAUAAGGAAUUAAUUUACCGCUUCCCAUUGGCAGGGAGGUGUUAAGGCAUCUCCAGAAAAGCAGGGCUCCAUCUCAUGUAACACCAUCACUCUGAACAUCCCCCCCUUCCUCCUGCUUCCCCCAGUGUCACCUGCUGAGCGUGAUGCCAUCGGGCAGGGGAUACCCCUCGGGUCAGUUGGGGUCAGCAGCUGUUCCAGCUGUGUCCCCCUGCCCAGGUCCUUGUGCCCCCAGCCUGCUUGCUGGCCUUGAUGCUGCUGUGCAAGCCCUGCUCAGGAGCAGCUACAACGUUGGAGAGCUACCAAGCACUUUUUUCAUCACAAAGCCAAAACAUAGCACCAUCCCACCUUCUACAAAGAAAAUUCACUCUCUCCCAGCCAAAACUAUAGUUCUGUAGUACAGCAGCAUUAACUUGUGUGGUUUUGCCCUUCAUAACGGCAUGGUGCAUAUGGCACCAAGAAAAAAAAAAAUUACAAAUUUCUCUCCUAUAAAACUGGAAGUAGGUCAUCUUCUCUGAGGGUCAGCAAGGUAAAAGCAAGCACAUGUUGCUGAUUCUUGUCCAAUUUUUCGUCCCCCAGUAUCCCCAAACCCUUCUCUGCAGGGGUCUUCUCAGCCCCUUCAUCUCCCCAGUAUUGAUACUGAGGGAUGCCCUCACCCAGGUGCAGGACCUUGCACCUGGCCUUGUUGAACCUCAUGAGGUUCAUAUAGGCCUGUCAAGAUCUGUCUGGGAUCUUGACUUCACACCUGGAAGUUGCCACCGGUGCUACUCCCUUACACAACACUCCAAACAUGAGCUUGAUGCCAUGCUGAUUCUUUGCUCGGGUUGUGUUUUUCAAAUGUCCUCGUCCACCAGCUCAGUGGUCUUAUGCAAAGGCGUGUGGCGCUGGGGUUAGAGUAAUGGGGACAGACAGACAGACACAUCAGUCAGCAUAGAGUAAGCACCUUUGGUCUAACACAAAUCCAGACUGCAACCCAAGAGUCCCAGUCCUCAUUCUGCCUGGACAACCUUGUCCUUCAUACCCAGCCUUCAUCCUUCCACAGCAGCUGCAGCAGGUUCUCAUUCUGUGACCUUCUUGGUUGUGGGGGUAUUUACACCUUUUCUGGCACAGCAGCCUUGCACUGAGCUGGUGUCACAGCGUGGCCGAUGCCCUGUGUCCCCUGAGGUUCACAGCUGCCCUUCUGCAGCAAGGCGCAUAUGCCAAGUCAGUGCCCUGUCCUGCCUGCCUGCCCUGCCGCUGGUGCUGGGAGCUGCGUGGGGUGGGAGAAAUGCCAUCCGCAAAGCAGAGCAGCAAAGUGUUACAGGAAAAGCGAGCUUCCCUGACAGGGAAGCAGAAGGCCCAAGCAGUUUCUGGGAAUGCUGGCCAUGCCAGGUGGCCACAUCACCUCCAGGAAAGUGUCUUGUUUUCUUCCAGUUCCCACGAUCAUUUUGUCACCACAGAAAAUUCACAACAUCACCAGGGCCCAGGUGUACCCGUCCUGUGACACGAAGGCAGUGUCCACGGCUGUUGGCACCUGGAGAAAGGUCUCAGAGUCACACAGAGGAGUCACCCUCCUGGAGGAGCUGCCUGGAGACAGAGCAAACACGGCUGUUCAGGCUUGGGGAGGACCUUUGCAGGAUGAAGGCACAGGGUGGGUUUUGAUUGACCAACUAAUGAAGGAAGAUGAGGGGGUCUACCGGUGUCACGUUGCCAACACGGCUGGAGAGGCACAUGCAGAUGGGAGCAUCACGGUCCUUGAGCAGAACAGAAACAAGGAGGCAUACCUUCUGGCACAGGACAACCCUGCCUAGCAGGAAGAAGGCAUUUGUUCACUCAAGAAGAGCCGAACCGCAAAGCACAUGCUAGAAAACAGUCAGUGGCUACCUUUGCUUCCUUUGCCAUAGGAGUUUGGAAAAUGUUGCAUUAAUACUCUUACUAUAGGCUUACUGUCAGUUUUAUACAUCUUCCUGCUUGGAAACUAUGCAAUUAGUUUUGAAAAUACCUAGUUGAAAAUGCACAUUAAUACUGAAAAUUCAUGGAAUAUCAGUAGGGGAAAAAUAGAGCAAUAAAAGCAUUUGAAAAGCAGUAAAAUACCAUUUUAAGUGGCA